UCCCGGUAUUGGAGGCAUUGCCUGCCCAGUGACAACUGUUUAACGGCCGCGGUAUCCUGACCGUGCAAAGGUAGCAUAAUCAUUUGUUCUCUAAAUAAGGACUUGUAUGAAUGGCCGCACGAGGGUUUUACUGUCUCUUACUUCCAAUCAGUGAAAUUGACCUUCCCGUGAAGAGGCGGGAAUGCACAAAUAAGACGAGAAGACCCUAUGGAGCUUUAACUAACCAACCCAAAGAGAAUAGAUUUAACCAUUAAGGAAUAACAACAAUCUCCAUGAGUUGGUAGUUUCGGUUGGGGUGACCUCGGAGAAUAAAAAAUCCUCCGAGCGAUUUUAAAGACUAGACCCACAAGUCAAAUCACUCUAUCGCUCAUUGAUCCAAAAACUUGAUCAACGGAACAAGUUACCCUAGGGAUAACAGCGCAAUCCUAUUCAAGAGUCCAUAUCGACAAUAGGGUUUACGACCUCGAUGUUGGAUCAGGACAUCCUGAUGGUGCAACCGCUAUCAAAGGUUCGUUUGUUCAACGAUUAAAGUCCUACGUGAUCUGAGUUCAGACCGGA
rnacentral:rRNA from 1 species